rnacentral:rRNA from 1 species
GAGUAAAGACCUCGGUCGCUUUGGGAGGAGCUCGCUUACUAUCAGCUUGUUGGUAGGGUAACGGCCUACCAAGGCUAUGACGGUUAGGGGGUGUGAGAGCAUGACCCCCAGCAUUGGCACUGAAACACUGGCCAAACACCUACGGGUGGCUGCAGUCGAGAAUCUUCCACAAUGGGGGAAACCCUGAUGGAGCGAUGCUGCGUGCGGGAUGAAGGCCUUCGGGUUGUAAACCGCUUUUGUAGGGGACGAAAUUUUUGACGGUACCCUUUCGAAUAAGAGGUUGCUAACUCUGUGCCAGCAGCAGCGGUAAUACAGAGACCUCAAGCGUUAUCCGGAUUUACUGGGGCGUAAAGCGUCUGUAGGGGGUUUAUUAAGUUCCAAGUAAAAUUUCAAGGCUCAACUUUGAAUUCGCUUGGAAAACUAAUAAACUGGAGUCUAGCAGAGGUGCAUGGAACUUGUGGUGUAGGAGUGAAAUCCGUUGAUAUCACAAGGAACACCAAAGGCGAAGGCAUUGCACUGGGCUAGCACUGACCCUGAGAGACGAAAGCGUGGGGAGCAAAACGGAUUAGAUACCCGUGUAGUCCACGCCCUAAACGAUGAAUGCUAAAUGUUCGGGGAUUCGACCCCCUGGGUGUUACAGCUAACGCGUUAAGCAUUCCGCCUGGGAAGUACGGCCGCAAGGCUAAAACUCAAAGGAAUAGACGGGGAUCCGCACAAGCGGUGGAGCGUCUGGUUUAAUUCGACAGUAAGCGUGGUACCUCACCAGGGUUUGACAUCCCUUGACAGCCUUGGAAACAAGGUUUCCUUCGGGCAAGGUGACAGGUGCUGCAUGGUCGUCGUCAGUUCGUGCCGUGAGGUGUUCCGUUAAGUCGGGAAACGAACGAAACCCCUAUUGCAUGUUACAAUUUCUCAUGCAAGACUGCCCGGAUAUACUGGGAGGAAGGUGGGGAUGACGUCAGAUCUGCAUGGUCCUUAUACCCUGGGCGACACAGGCGCUACAAUGGCAGAGACAAAGGGUUGCAAAACCGCAAGGUGAAGCUAAUCCCAAAAACUUUGUCUAAGUUCGGAUUGAAGGCUGCAAUUCGCCUUCAUGAAGCUGGAAUCGCUAGUAAUCGUGAAUCAGCCACGUCACGGUGAAUAUGUUCCCGGAUCUUGUACUCACCGCCCGUCACACCAAGAGAGUUGGUAGCUCCCGANA